rnacentral:misc_RNA from 1 species
GAAAUGCGAUAAGUAGUGUGAAUUGCAGAAUUCAGUGAAUCAUCGAAUCUUUGAACGCACAUUGCGCUUCGUGGUAUUCCGCGGAGCAUGCUCGUUUCAGAAUCAUUAAAAAACUCACAGACCGUGGGGUUGUUGUUGGUUCGCCAGCACCUCUGCGCAAUGUGGAUGUGGGCAAUUUGUCUUUGUCAAUUGCCUUAAAGUUAGUGUGCGUGACUGAAUGCGGUGAUGCCCUAAAGUGCAACAGCUUUUGAUACACUUCGGGGCCAUCGAGAGAACACGCAUCCGUAAACAACACAGGGCCAACAAGCAGUUAUGCUUUACCGGCUCUGACAACUUGGUCUGAAAUCGAGCAAGAAAACCCGCUGAACUUAA